ensembl:antisense Gm17058 predicted gene 17058
ACUGAGAGAGCUUCUGACUGAGAGAGCUUCUGACUGAGAGAGCUUCUGGACCGGACUGAGAAGUCAAUUCUGGAUAAGAUGGGGCCAUGUGACCAUUUUUCCCAACCUCGCUCUGCUGAUGUGCAAAUGUCAUUUAAUUCUGUGAUUUGCAAUUCAAUAAUGCCCAACAGAACAAACCCAGGGAGGCAGUGGAAUGGGCUGUGUCCUUUAUAACCUAGUCAGCAUCUAUAGCUGUUCUUCUCAGUGGUUCUGUCCUCGGGGGAGGGGGGUGGAUUUGUUAAUACUGGGCUAACAUGAUAUGACAUGGAGAAAGGCAGCCAGGCUACUUAUUUAAACAAAACAAAAUGAAAACUGCACUCAGAGCUGGGCAUGGUGGUGCAUGCCUUUGAUCCUAGCACUCAAGAGACAGAUCUCUUAGGCCAGCCUGGUCUACAGAGCAAGAUCCAGGAAAGCUAGGGCUACACAGAGUGGGGUAGGGCACACAAGCUGCUCUUAGUAGAUGUGGGGAAAACUGGGGUGGGUAGAUGGGGUGCUAUGUAGUAGAGAUACCAAGACUUCAUAAGAGGAAGAAGGAAGACAGGAAAAAGCUGGGCAAAGUGAUGCAUAUCAUUAAUUCCAGCACUGGUGAAGUAGAGACAGGGUGAGUUCAAGUGCUUUUAUUCUCUCUAGUCAAAAUGUUUAAAAGUUACUUUUCCUGUAAGUCUGUCUUAACCUUAUGGCUCCAAUCACUCAUUUCCUCAACAUUUUUUAUAACCUGUAAGUCAUAUAAUUUUCUUCUUGAUUUAUCAUCUGUGCUAAUUUUAAAAUCACAACAGUGUGAGAAUGAAUACAGUGUGCUGCACAUAUUUGGUACUUAGUGUCUGCUCC